CGUUGUCCGGAUUAUUGGGCGUAAAGAGCUUGUAGGCGGUUUGUCGCGUCUGCUGUGAAAGGCCGGGGCUUAACUCCGUGUAUUGCAGUGGGUACGGGCAGACUAGAGUGCAGUAGGGGAGACUGGAAUUCCUGGUGUAGCGGUGGAAUGCGCAGAUAUCAGGAGGAACACCGAUGGCGAAGGCAGGUCUCUGGGCUGUAACUGACGCUGAGAAGCGAAAGCAUGGGGAGCGAACAGGAUUAGAUACCCUGGUAGUCCAUGCCGUAAACGUUGGGCACUAGGUGUGGGGGACAUUCCACGUUUUCCGCGCCGUAGCUAACGCAUUAAGUGCCCCGCCUGGGGAGUACGGCCGCAAGGCUAAAACUCAAAGAAAUUGACGGGGGCCCGCACAAGCGGCGGAGCAUGCGGAUUAAUUCGAUGCAACGCGAAGAACCUUACCAAGGCUUGACAUAUACUGGACCGCAUCAGGGAUGGUGUUUCCCUUCGGGGCUGGUAUACAGGUGGUGCAUGGUUGUCGUCAGCUCGUGUCGUGAG
rnacentral:rRNA from 1 species